rnacentral:rRNA from 1 species
GGUUAAGCGACUAAGCGUACACGGUGGAUGCCCUGGCAGUCAGAGGCGAUGAAGGACGUGCUAAUCUGCGAUAAGCGUCGGUAAGGUGAUAUGAACCGUUAUAACCGGCGAUUUCCGAAUGGGGAAACCCAGUGUGUUUCGACACACUAUCAUUAACUGAAUCCAUAGGUUAAUGAGGCGAACCGGGGGAACUGAAACAUCUAAGUACCCCGAGGAAAAGAAAUCAACCGAGAUUCCCCCAGUAGCGGCGAGCGAACGGGGAGCAGCCCAGAGCCUGAAUCAGUGUGUGUGUUAGUGGAAACGUCUGGAAAGGCGCGCGAUACAGGGUGACAGCCCCGUACACAAAAAUGCACAUGCUGUGAGCUCGAUGAGUAGGGCGGGACACGUGGUAUCCUGUCUGAAUAUGGGGGGACCAUCCUCCAAGGCUAAAUACUCCUGACUGACCGAUAGUGAACCAGUACCGUGAGGGAAAGGCGAAAAGAACCCCGGCGAGGGGAGUGAAAAAGAACCUGAAACCGUGUACGUACAAGCAGUGGGAGCACGCUUAGGCGUGUGACUGCGUACCUUUUGUAUAAUGGGUCAGCGACUUAUAUUCUGUAGCAAGGUUAACCGAAUAGGGGAGCCGAAGGGAAACCGAGUCUUAACUGGGCGUUAAGUUGCAGGGUAUAGACCCGAAACCCGGUGAUCUAGCCAUGGGCAGGUUGAAGGUUGGGUAACACUAACUGGAGGACCGAACCGACUAAUGUUGAAAAAUUAGCGGAUGACUUGUGGCUGGGGGUGAAAGGCCAAUCAAACCGGGAGAUAGCUGGUUCUCCCCGAAAGCUAUUUAGGUAGCGCCUCGUGAAUUCAUCUCCGGGGGUAGAGCACUGUUUCGGCAAGGGGGUCAUCCCGACUUACCAACCCGAUGCAAACUGCGAAUACCGGAGAAUGUUAUCACGGGAGACACACGGCGGGUGCUAACGUCCGUCGUGAAGAGGGAAACAACCCAGACCGCCAGCUAAGGUCCCAAAGUCAUGGUUAAGUGGGAAACGAUGUGGGAAGGCCCAGACAGCCAGGAUGUUGGCUUAGAAGCAGCCAUCAUUUAAAGAAAGCGUAAUAGCUCACUGGUCGAGUCGGCCUGCGCGGAAGAUGUAACGGGGCUAAACCAUGCACCGAAGCUGCGGCAGCGACACUAUGUGUUGUUGGGUAGGGGAGCGUUCUGUAAGCCUGUGAAGGUGUGCUGUGAGGCAUGCUGGAGGUAUCAGAAGUGCGAAUGCUGACAUAAGUAACGAUAAAGCGGGUGAAAAGCCCGCUCGCCGGAAGACCAAGGGUUCCUGUCCAACGUUAAUCGGGGCAGGGUGAGUCGACCCCUAAGGCGAGGCCGAAAGGCGUAGUCGAUGGGAAACAGGUUAAUAUUCCUGUACUUGGUGUUACUGCGAAGGGGGGACGGAGAAGGCUAUGUUGGCCGGGCGACGGUUGUCCCGGUUUAAGCGUGUAGGCUGGUUUUCCAGGCAAAUCCGGAAAAUCAAGGCUGAGGCGUGAUGACGAGGCACUACGGUGCUGAAGCAACAAAUGCCCUGCUUCCAGGAAAAGCCUCUAAGCAUCAGGUAACAUCAAAUCGUACCCCAAACCGACACAGGUGGUCAGGUAGAGAAUACCAAGGCGCUUGAGAGAACUCGGGUGAAGGAACUAGGCAAAAUGGUGCCGUAACUUCGGGAGAAGGCACGCUGAUAUGUAGGUGAGGUCCCUCGCGGAUGGAGCUGAAAUCAGUCGAAGAUACCAGCUGGCUGCAACUGUUUAUUAAAAACACAGCACUGUGCAAACACGAAAGUGGACGUAUACGGUGUGACGCCUGCCCGGUGCCGGAAGGUUAAUUGAUGGGGUUAGCGCAAGCGAAGCUCUUGAUCGAAGCCCCGGUAAACGGCGGCCGUAACUAUAACGGUCCUAAGGUAGCGAAAUUCCUUGUCGGGUAAGUUCCGACCUGCACGAAUGGCGUAAUGAUGGCCAGGCUGUCUCCACCCGAGACUCAGUGAAAUUGAACUCGCUGUGAAGAUGCAGUGUACCCGCGGCAAGACGGAAAGACCCCGUGAACCUUUACUAUAGCUUGACACUGAACAUUGAGCCUUGAUGUGUAGGAUAGGUGGGAGGCUUAGAAGUGUGGACGCCAGUCUGCAUGGAGCCGACCUUGAAAUACCACCCUUUAAUGUUUGAUGUUCUAACGUUGACCCGUAAUCCGGGUUGCGGACAGUGUCUGGUGGGUAGUUUGACUGGGGCGGUCUCCUCCUAAAGAGUAACGGAGGAGCACGAAGGUUGGCUAAUCCUGGUCGGACAUCAGGAGGUUAGUGCAAUGGCAUAAGCCAGCUUGACUGCGAGCGUGACGGCGCGAGCAGGUGCGAAAGCAGGUCAUAGUGAUCCGGUGGUUCUGAAUGGAAGGGCCAUCGCUCAACGGAUAAAAGGUACUCCGGGGAUAACAGGCUGAUACCGCCCAAGAGUUCAUAUCGACGGCGGUGUUUGGCACCUCGAUGUCGGCUCAUCACAUCCUGGGGCUGAAGUAGGUCCCAAGGGUAUGGCUGUUCGCCAUUUAAAGUGGUACGCGAGCUGGGUUUAGAACGUCGUGAGACAGUUCGGUCCCUAUCUGCCGUGGGCGCUGGAGAACUGAGGGGGGCUGCUCCUAGUACGAGAGGACCGGAGUGGACGCAUCACUGGUGUUCGGGUUGUCAUGCCAAUGGCACUGCCCGGUAGCUAAAUGCGGAAGAGAUAAGUGCUGAAAGCAUCUAAGCACGAAACUUGCCCCGAGAUGAGUUCUCCCUGACUCCUUGAGAGUCCUGAAGGAACGUUGAAGACGACGACGUUGAUAGGCCGGGUGUGUAAGCGCAGCGAUGCGUUGAGCUAACCGGUACUAAUGAACCGUGAGGCUUAACCUU